CAUUAGAGAUGUGCGCAAGCACUUUUCCCUUCUUACACCUGUGCACCGUUUGGUCUUCGGACCUUUACACAAUACAUGUAGUCAUGAACGUAAAUUAUUAUAAUCUAAUAAAACUUUUAACAACGGAUCUCUUGGCUCUCGCAUCGAUGAAGAACGCAGCGAAAUGCGAUAAGUAAUGUGAAUUGCAGAAUUCAGUGAAUCAUCGAAUCUUUGAACGUAUCUUGCGCCCUUUGGUAUUCCGAAGGGCAUGCCUGUUUGAGUGUCGUGAAAAUCUCUUCCCAUCGGGUUUCCGAUGACGAAGGACUUGGGCGUUGCCAGUCGUAUGGCUCGCCUUAAAGGUCUCAGUGGUUCAGAAGAUUGAAUCUGGCGUAAUAAGUUUCGCUGGCCUAGAUCGGACGUCUGCUCAUAACCCGUCUUCCGACAUUUUUUGCUCAGACCUCAAAUCAGGUAGGACUACCCGCUGAACUUAA
rnacentral:rRNA from 1 species